GCCGGGCGUGAUGGCACGCGCCUGUAGUCCCAGCUACUCGGGAGGCUGAGGCAGGAGAAUCACUUGAACCCAGGAGGUGGAGGUUGCAGUGAGCCAAGAUUGCACCAUUGCACUCCAGCCUGGGUGACAGAGUGAGACUCUGUCUCAA
rnacentral:SRP_RNA from 1 species